GUGGGUGUGGCCCGCCGGCUGUGGUUUGCUGACUGCUGUUCUCCAGACACAGCUCAUGUAUCUUCUGCUUUGCUGAGCACGCUAGGGGGGCCCCCUUCAGGGCUGAGCCUCAGGGGAGCCCAGCUCGGCCCCGUUUGGAGAGGCAGAGGGGCCUGGGAUGGCUGGGGUGGCUCCCCGGGGUGGCAGUGCCUCUGAGUGUGACUCUGUCUUUCUGUCCUAGGAAUGCUGUUGAAAAGGCUCCUGUCAGGCAGUGGAGCCUCAGGACUCAUGACUCAUGACUCUCUCUGCUGGAAAACUGUUCAUUUCCCCGGAGCGGGAAGCAGCUGCACUCGUGAGCCCGGGCUCAUUUUGCUGCAUGAAUAUUUAUGGCAUGUCCCCUAAUUAAACUCAGAAAUAAAAUUUACCUGCUCACAGGGGCCACGGAAGACUGUAAGGCCGUGUCAGGAACCAGCCUCUUGUGCCUGUGAAGUAGGGUUGUCAACAACACAGCUGUGUCCAGAGCCACUUGGCCAGGGCCAGUGUCCACAGGAGUGGCUGGGCGGGCAUUCCCUGGAAGGUCCAGCACCCCUGGUGUGGUCACAUGCUGGUGCAGUGGGACACCUGGGCCACCUCUAAGGGCACUGAUGGGUGGCUAUUGUCCCAAAUCUGCAUGGGGUGACUCAAGGCCGGAGCCCUAGCAAUACUGUUUUUCUUUUACCCGGGAUGAUUCAGCUAUCUCAUGAUUAGGCUUCAAAGGCCACUCUAGUGGCACCAGCUCAGAGAAGAGGGCCCCCAGCUGGAAGCUGGGUCUGAGUUUCUCUUCUGACACUGAUUCCUGGGCUGGCCCACCAGCUCCCCCAGCCUCAGUUUCCCCGUCGUCACAGUGAGGGAGGAAAUCCCAGGCUCCUCAGCACACAGAGUUGUACUGAGAAUCAUGGGAGGUGACAGAAGAGAAAGCACUUUGGGGAAUGCAGCCCACCGUGGGCCUGGGAUUUCCUUGUCCUCCAGGCCCUCCCUUUCCUAAACCCCGGAGGCCAGGAAAGCGGGCUCUGCCCAACCCGGUAACCUUGAGGGUUUCCGGAAACCAUAAAUCUUGGCUUUUCCUCGAGGGGUCCUACCUCCAGAGGACGGCUUGGGCCCUCAUAUCCUCUUCCGAGGAGCCAAUAAACCAGGCAAAUACCAUAAAGCUCCUCACCCCAGCUGGAGCCCUGGUGGUCAGAGGCAGACCCGGAGUCACCAAGAGAGAGUUUCAGAACAUGACCAUCAAGUCAAACGUGGACCACCCCCCCCUUUCCUUUCCAGAAUGGAACUUGCCUUUGAGUCCUCUCUUCUGUUUUCUUUUUGAUUAUUUUCCUCUGAGAAUUUCUCACAGCCCGCGAGAGAUCCCAUCUCGUGCUCCCGCCCUGCCUCCAGGCUGCUGGUGGACCGGGACCUUAGGAUGCUUUCCCAAGGCGGGUCCGGCCACAGGAUCUGGUGUCAUCGAAGACGUAGGCCCGGGAGUGAAUUCUGCCUGGUCAGGGGGGCAAGCAGAGUCCAGGAGCGCUGCCGGGACCCCUGAAGGGCCCAGAAGACUUGGGAGCUGCAGAAUCGGAUGGCUGAGCAGCCUUUGAACUGGUUUAGGUCCAAGCCUGUUGACACCAACACAGUCAACACCUCCUCAGUGCAUCAUGUGAUGCUAAGACAGGUUCACAAGUGAGCUCAAGGGCCGGGGUGCCCAGGCUUGGGCUCCACUCCCCAAAGUCCCACAGAUACCUCCACUCUCUACCUGAGAGGACCCAGGAGGCUCUGGGGGUGCUGGACACCCAGGUCCCUACCCCUAAAGGCUCUACUGAUUUCCCCCAGGUCGAGUGUUUUGGGGAGGGAAAUGUAAUCCACAUAUUUUGAUUCAUUUGCAUUAAAGUCGUGACAAAGCUUUGUGAGAGCCAUUUGUGCUUGUGUGUCUGUCGAGCAGUCUUAGCCGUCUUUGGGAGGAGGACUUUUCCUUCUCUCAGGGAAGCAGGAAGUCAAGCUGCUCCAGGAGCUCUGACCUGACCCCUUCAGUGCUGGCUUGCCCCGCCCGCGUCCUCACAGCUGGAAAUGAGAGGCCCAAAUCGGCCUCUCUUGGAGUACAGCAAACCCGCACCCACGGGCCUGGCCCUUAAAGUGCUCUGCAAUCUGCCACAAGCUGUCUCGGUAGCAGGCAGCACCCUACCA
rnacentral:lncRNA from 1 species